AUGACGCUCCUUAGUUGGAACUAUCGAGGCCUUGGGCAGCCUCGCACAGUUUAGGAACUCGUGUGCCUUGUGCACACUUACAAGCCCAAGCUCGUCUUCCUCUCUGAAACCCAGCAAAACAAUAAGUACGUCAAGAAUCUUAAGUGGAGGUUAGGACUCCGUCAUUGUAUCACGCAACCCGGUAUCGGAAAAGGUGUCGGCAUUGCCCACUUUUAUGAUGAGAGUAUUGAAUGGCGAUGCACUUUUGUAUACGGGGAACCGAAGGCCCAUCAGCGUCACCAUAUGUGGACAUUACUUCGGAGAAUAAAAGAUAUAGCAAAUGUGCCUUGGCUCAUGGUAGGUGAUUUUAACGAAACGAUGUGGCAGUCUGAGCACCUCUCUGUUUCUAAAAGAUCUGAGAAGUAUAUGAGUGAUUUUCGCACAGUGCUUGCUGAUUGCAACGUCUUUGACCUGGGUUUUAAAGCCCGGUAUGGACCUACAACAACAAGCAAGAGGGCAAAAAUAAUGUGCGGGCGAGGCUGGACAGAGCAGUAG
rnacentral:rRNA from 1 species